UACGUAGGGUGCAAGCGUUGUCCGGAAUUAUUGGGCGUAAAGAGCUCGUAGGCGGUCUGUCGCGUCUGCUGUGAAAACUCGGGGCUUAACCCCGGGCCUGCAGUGGGUACGGGCAGACUAGAGGGCGGUAGGGGAGACUGGAAUUCCUGGUGUAGCGGUGAAAUGCGCAGAUAUCAGGAGGAACACCGGUGGCGAAGGCGGGUCUCUGGGCCGUAACUGACGCUGAGGAGCGAAAGCAUGGGGAGCGAACAGG
rnacentral:rRNA from 1 species